GAAAUGCGAUAAGUAGUGUGAAUUGCAGAAUUCAGUGAAUCAUCGAAUCUUUGAACGCACAUUGCGCCCCUCGGUAUUCCGUGGGGCAUGCCUGUUCGAGCGUCAUUACAACCCUCAGGCCCCCGGGCCUGGCGUUGGGGAUCGGCGGAAGCCCCCUGCGGGCACAACGCCGUCCCCCAAAUACAGUGGCGGUCCUGCCGCAGCUUCCAUUGCGUAGUAGCUAACACCUCGCAACUGGAGAGCGGCGCGGCCACGCCGUAAAACACCCAACUUCUGAAUGUUGACCUCGAAUCAGGUAGGAAUACCCGCUGAACUUAAGC
rnacentral:misc_RNA from 1 species